rnacentral:rRNA from 1 species
AGAGCGAACGCUGGCGGCAGGCCUAACACAUGCAAGUCGAACGGACCCUUCGGGGUUAGUGGCGGACGGGUGAGUAACACGUGGGAACGUGCCUUUUGGUUCGGAAUAGCUCCUGGAAACGGGUGGUAAUGCCGAAUGUGCCCUUCGGGGGAAAGAUUUAUCGCCAUUAGAGCGGCCCGCGUCUGAUUAGCUAGUUGGUGAGGUAAUGGCUCGCCAAGGCGACGAUCAGUAGCUGGUCUGAGAGGAUGACCAGCCACAUUGGGACUGAGACACGGCCCAAACUCCUACGGGAGGCAGCAGUGGGGAAUCUUGCGCAAUGGGCGAAAGCCUGACGCAGCCAUGCCGCGUGAAUGAUGAAGGUCUUAGGAUUAGUAAAAUUCUUUCACCGGGGACGAUAAUGACGGUACCCGGAGAAGAAGCCCGGCUAACUUCGCGCCAGCAGCCGC